GCAAAUUACCCAAUCCUAACUCAGGGAGGUAGUUACAAGAAAUAACAAUUUCGGGCUUGCCCGAGAUUGGAAUGAGUACAAUGUYCAAUCUUUAACGAGUACCAACKGGAGGGCAAGUSUGGUGCCAGCAGCCGCGGUAAUUCCAGCUCCAGUAGCGUAUACUAAAGUUGUUGCAGUUAAAAAGCUGGUAGUUGAAUUUCUGUGUAGUGUACUUGCGGUCUCCGGACCAAUAUAUAUUGCACAUCCAUCUGAACAGCACUUCUUGUCAUUCAUUUGUCGGUUGUGUGAUCAGAUACUUUACCUUGAGAAAAAUAGAGUGUUCCAAGCAGGCGUCSGCCUGAAUAAUAAAGCAUGGAAUAAUACAAUAGGACUGGGUUCUAUUGGUGCAUAGAACUUAGUAAUGAUUAAUAGGGACAGUUGGGGGCAUUKGUAUUUAAUUGUCAGAGGUGAAAUUCUUUGAUUUAUUAAAGACAAACCUAUGCGAAAGCAUUGCCAAGGA
rnacentral:rRNA from 1 species